GGCACUAUAGCUUAGUGGUUUAGAGUGAUAGGGCUAGUGACCAAAAGGUACUGGUGCAAAUCCAGCUGGUGUCA